GACUCCGGGAUCAUUACUUGAGCCGAAGGCAGUUGCUUAACCAACUGAGCCACCCAGGCGCCCGUGGACAUGGGAAUUUUGAAACUAUCCAAUGAAAGUAACCAAGGCGUAGCCGAAGGUGACAACACAACAAAAAUCUAAAGUUUGUUUUCUUGUAGGUGUCAAUGACUAACAAACUAAACAAAGUACCUUUCAAAAGAUCACCAACAUUCUUCAAUACAGUGGGGGAAAAGAAAACUUUAUAAGAAGCAAGUUGAUGUUCUACCAAGGCUACACUACCACUGCAGUUUCAUUUGCAAGAUACCUGCCUCAGUGGCAAGACGGCAGGUCUUCCGACUGCACAGGCUAUUGAAAAGAAAGCCCCACAUGUCCCAUGCACUGAAGAGUAACAACUAACGUUUCUUGGAGGCCAGACUGUGUGCUAAGUAUUUUACAUGCAUCAUCUCAUUCAGUUUUAAAGGAACAUACCUGAAACAAGAACUCGGAAAUCAGAUCUUCUUGUAGGAGGACCAUUCCUCCCACCACGGGGCCACCCACCCCGACCGCCAUAAGUCCUGGGGAACUCCACACGAAGCCGACACUGGCCAUAAUCAUAACCAUUCCUUCCAUAAAUUGCAUCUUCAGCAUCUCUGCAAAGAAAGGUUUGGAGUUAGUGCUGCUCAGGAGGCUGACUUCCCAGUGAGGGACCUGAGGAACAAGUAUAAAAGGGAAACCUGGAGUCAGAAAAAUAAAAAGUCUUGAUACACUA